rnacentral:lncRNA from 1 species
AUGGCGCCUGAAACAGGGACCUGGAGCAUGCCCUUGGCAAGCGGAUGGAGUGACUGUGGACCUCCCGAGGACGGAUUUGUGCAAGGAGGUAGGAAAUGCAGACUUAAUCCAAGAAUCUUUUUUUUUUUUUGGCUGUGUGGCGUAGCACAUGGGAUCUUAAUUCUCCAACCAGAGAUUGAACCCACACCUCCUGCACUGAAAACUCAGAGUCUUAACCACUGGACGGCCAGGGUGAAGUCCUCCAAGAAUCUAUUCUUAAGUAGCGACUUGAAGAUCCAAAUGCUGACAUCAGGUAUCUAUUAUCUAUUUUUAAAACGUGAGUUUCCUGAAAACCACCUCAGUAUAUAUAACCACCUCAAUGGUGUACUGGACCACCUCAGUACAGCUCCUCCUUCACACCAACAGGGUCACGGAAGGCAGCAGCCACGCGAGAACCACUGUAACCAGGAAUAAGAUCACCAGCCCAUCCCAAACAACACACUUGGAAUCACAACUCCCAGGAUGUCUGCUGUGACCUUGGGCUUUAAACCACUUGACUGCAUCCAGGAACUAAAAACAGCCACCAAAUGUGUUGGAAAUCAAUUAAUAGAUUUACAAAAACUAAUAAUAUUAAAAUGUGAUUGGAAUUCUACUCAAUUUUGUGUCACUGCUGUUCAGUUCAACUAUAGUGCCUACAUCUGGGAACAAAUAAAUUUCAUUUGCAAGACAUACAUGAUAAUGCUUCCCUAAAUGCACAAUUAUUACAAAAAGAAAUCUUUGAAACCUUCUCUAAAAGUCUGCCCUCUUCCAAUAAUUUGAAAACUUUAGCUGAACAGCUAGUUGAUCAAUUAUCUGGGCUAGACUCUUGAAGAUGGUUCCAAAGUAUUACUCAUAGUAUUGGGUCUGGUGCUGUAACAUUGGUAAUUGUCCUGGUAAUUAUAUUUGUUGUAUACCAAUGCAAAGAAAUAGAGGAAAACAACAGAAUGGGAAAGACUAGAGAUCUCUUCAAGAAAAUUAGAGAUACCAAGGGAAUAUUUCAUGCAAAGAUGGGGUCAAUAAAGGACAGAAAUGGUAUGGACCUAACAGAAGCAGAAGAUAUUAAGAAGAGGUGGCAAGAAUACACAGAAGAACUGUACAAAAUAGAUCUUCACGAUCCAGGUAAUCACCAUGGUGUGAUCACUCACCUAGAGCCAGACACCCUGGAAUGUGAAGUCAAGUGGGCCUUAGGAAGCAUCACUAUGAACAAAGCUAGUGGAGGUGAUGGAAUUCCAGUUGAGCUGUUUCAAAUCCUGAAAGAUGAUGCUGUGAAAGUGCUGCACUCAAUAUGCCAGCACAUUUGGAAAACUCAGCAGUGGCCACAGGACUGGAAAAGGUCAGUUUUCAUUCCAAUCCCAAAGAAAGACAAUGCCAAAGAAUGCUCAAACUACC